GGGUUGUGAGGUUAAGUGACUAAGCGUACACGGUGGAUGCCUAGGCAGUCAGAGGCGAUGAAGGGCGUGCUAAUCUGCGAAAAGCGUCGGUAAGGUGAUAUGAACCGUUAUAACCGGCGAUACCCGAAUGGGGAAACCCAGUGUGUUUCGACACAUUAUCAUGUCAUGAAUACAUAGUGGCAUGAGGCGAACCGGGGGAACUGAAACAUCUAAGUACCCCGAGGAAAAGAAAUCAACCGAGAUUCCCCCAGUAGCGGCGAGCGAACGGGGAGGAGCCCAGAACCUGAAUCGGCUUGUGUGUUAGUGGAAGCGUCUGGAAAGUCGCGCAGUAAAGGGUGAUAGCCCCGUACACUAAAAUGCACAGGUCGUGAGUUCGAUGAGUAGGGCGGGACACGUGACAUCCUGUCUGAAUAUGGGGGGACCAUCCUCCAAGGCUAAAUACUCCUGACUGACCGAU
rnacentral:rRNA from 1 species